GACGAACGCUGGCGGCGUGCUUAACACAUGCAAGUCGAACGGAAAGGCCCUGCUUUUGUGGGGUGCUCGAGUGGCGAACGGGUGAGUAUCACGUGAGUAACCUGCCCUUGACUUUGGGAUAACUUCAGGAAACUGGGGCUAAUACCGGAUAUGAGCUCCUGCUGCAUGGUGGGUGUUGUAAAGUUUCGGCGGUUGGGGAUGGACUCGCGGCUUAUCAGCUUGUUGGUGGGGUAGUGGCUUACCAAGGCUUUGACGGGUAGCCGGACUGAGAGGGUGACCGGCCACAUUGGGACUGAGAUACGGGCAAGAGGCAUACGGGAGGCAGCAGUGGGGAAUAGUGCAAAAUGGGCGGAAGCAGGAUGCAGCAACGCCGCGUGCGGGAUGACGGCCGUCGGGUUGUAAACCGCUUUAGCCUGUGAAGAAGAGUGAGUGACGGUAAUGGGUAAAGAAGCAACGGCUAACUACGUG
rnacentral:rRNA from 1 species